GUCGUAACAAGGUUUCCGUAGGUGAACCUGCGGAAGGAUCAUUACCACACCAAGAUCCAAGAUCUUUCUUAACGUGAAUUAGGUCUGCAUGCUAGAUGCAAACGCUGUACACCACGUGCAGCGGUCUAGUUGCUGACCGACCGUGUAAAGCCUGAUAAUUGGUGCCCACACCCAGCCCUGUCUGCAUCUGUAAAAGGAAACUUGCCCAUUGACGGGGCAAGGCAGAAAGGUGCUGGAGGGUGCCCUCCUAUAAAAUUACUGGUAUUGACCCUAUGAUCUAAGAAAAAAGCCAUGAACCAAUCUCCUGCUGCAAAUUUUGCACCGGGGAAAAAGAUAGGUGCUAGGCCAACAAAAAUGAAACUGACAACUUUCAGCGAUGGAUGUCUAGGUUCCCA
rnacentral:misc_RNA from 1 species